GAUGAACGCUGGCGGCGUGCCUAAUACAUGCAAGUCGAGCGAACAGACGAGGAGCUUGCUCCUCUGACGUUAGCGGCGGACGGGUGAGUAACACGUGGAUAACCUACCUAUAAGACUGGGAUAACUUCGGGAAACCGGAGCUAAUACCGGAUAAUAUAUUGAACCGCAUGGUUCAAUAGUGAAAGACGGUUUUGCUGUCACUUAUAGAUGGAUCCGCGCCGCAUUAGCUAGUUGGUAAGGUAACGGCUUACCAAGGCAACGAUGCGUAGCCGACCUGAGAGGGUGAUCGGCCACACUGGAACUGAGACACGGUCCAGACUCCUACGGGAGGCAGCAGUAGGAAAUCUUCCGCAAUGGGCGAAAGCCUAACGGAGCAACGCCGCGUGAGUGAUGAAGGUCUUCGGAUCGUAAAACUCUGUUAUUAGGGAAGAACAAAUGUGUAAGUAACUAUGCACGUCUUGACGGUACCUAAUCAGAAAGCCACGGCUAACUACGUG
rnacentral:rRNA from 1 species